AUAUAACCAGAAAAGUUGCCUUCACUGUCGGAGUGUCGUCUGCUAGCAGGUCCUGGAGCAGGGGCUUGCCUAGGAGGGUGACCUUUGCUGCCUCCGUGUCAUCAUCAAGUAGUUACUGGAACAGCAGUACCUUGGUGUUUCCCGUGGUCAUCACUAACGUGGGAAACGGAUACAACCCCAGCAACGGAAUAUUUACCGCUCCUACCAACGGGAAUAUAGACAUGUACCGAUAACAAUCAUCGUGAGUUAAACAUUUGCAUGGCAUCUCAUACUUCAUUAGAUGUUUAUUAUAUGAAUGAAUUGUCGAAAAUCGAGCAUUCAGAAUUUUACUCUGCCUUUGUGCUAUUACAUGUUUCCAGGAAAUAAUUCUUACCUACACAGACUACUGUAUACAAGGAAAUAUUCGCCCCGUUUUAUUUUCGUUCCUCUCAACCUUGUCAGUGGAUGAAUUUAAAACUGAACGAAACCGUUUUGUCUUUUAUCACAAUUGAUUCUGGGCGAAUUUAAAACAGGUCAAAAUUGUUUACAUGUGUAAAAGGGCGAAAACACGAGGUGAACAUAACUUUAUAUACAGUAUAUGUCUUUUUGUCCCGUAUAAUACAUAUUUCAUGAACAAUAGUUCUGACUUUAGUCACCACCUGUAACUUACAUUACAUACACCGAUUGUGUUAUCGUACUCACGUGUGCUUUAUCCGCUGUCGAACUGACUCAAAAUUUCUUCCCAGCUCUAAGUGCAGAUCCAUGACGUGUUUUUAAUUUUUGUUUCAUCUUUUUUGUUUCCUUUCCUUUUCGUUAUCUUUUAUCUUAAGAUGAUCAAAUCUGCAUGUUACGGCUUGGAUGUCGUGCACGGUGUCGAUGUUUUACAAUGAUUGAUUUAGCCAUCGAUAUAUCUAUUCAAUAAUCUGACAUAAGAAUAUAUAAAGUGUGUAUCGUUAAAGAAUCGUAUAACUUUUUAAAAUUAGAAUUUGUUAACAUGUAGUCCUAUAUUUUAUUUUCCUAAUCCUCACAGGUUUGUUAAUUGAACUUCGCCAUAUGAAAGGUGAAUAUAACGAAUAACAAAUAGUGAUCAAUCUCAUAACUCCUAUAAGCAAUACAAAAUAUAUACUUGGGUAAACACGAACCCCUGGACACACCAAAGGUGGGAUCAGGUGUCUAGGAGUAAGCACCCCUGUCGACUGGUCACACCCGCCGUGAGCCCCUUAUAUCCUGAUCAGGUAAUCGGAGUUAUCCGUAGUCAAAAUCAGUGUGCCAAGAACGGUCUAACAAUCGGUAUGAAACACGUCAGACAGCAUUUAACCCAAUGAUAGGUUGUAUAGACGAACUAGAUCGUUAUAAUAACUAUAGAAUUUGCGAAAUGCUGACUUCAAUCGAGACUGUUGAAACCUCUGUACCAUCAACUUGUUUAUCAGUAGCUUACCUCGAUUUAAAAACUGACCAUACGCAGAACAAGCUCUUGCGUAUUGAACCAGUUGAGAGAUAUAAACACCAUAUGAAGGUGAUAAUGGAAUAUUGCUAUAUAAAUAUGGGAAGCUGAAAUCAUCCUGUUUGUAAUGCAGUUGAGUUGUCACUUUGCCGUUAUGUCUAUUGUCAAUAAAAUAUCUAAGUAUGAAGCAGAAGUGUAAGACUCCGUGGUGUCUUUUAUUUCGAGCUCACAGGGAUAAUUCGAAUCGACAUAUGAAUAAAAAUUAUUAUUGUUAAUAGACAAAACGUCGUCAAUAUAUCUAAAUGUCGAAUUAAAGGCCACAGCAAGAAAGUUUUUCUUCGCACUAGAAGUUUUUGAGUAAAUUCUGCUUCAUAUGAAUAUAGAAACAGGUCAGCUAACAAAGGAACACAAUUCGUGCCCAUGGGAAUUCCAACAGACUGCUGGAAGACCUGAUCAUCAAAGACCACGAAGAUAUUGUCAAUGAAGAACUCUAGCAUAUUUUUCAACUUCAGAGUAAUUCUGCUGGAAUCAGAGUGGUGUUUAAAAAAGUAAUUUUUUGAUGACUGAUCACUAUAUAUGAAUAUUUCCUUUUUCCAUUUUUGUUGAAAAGCAACUGUCUAUGAUGUCAAGAAAUCUAGUCUUUUUUAUCGCAAGGAAUGGUCAUGUAAAGUGUUGAAAAGUCAUAGUUUUGAUGUUAUUGAUUUGGGAAAAGUUUUGCGAUUUCAAGUUUAUUAAAAGUUAUUUAGAAUUUUUCAGAAUCCACAUUUCAUUCACAGUAGCUUAGUGAGUUUGAAGUUUCUCCUUCAUAGCUGUUAAUAUUUUCUUGAGGAGCAAAGAUAGGGGCUUGGUAGAGCACUUACUGGAUCCAGCAAUGCAUCUUUGUUUGUAAGAGUUUUUAUGUACAUGUAGUUUAGGAAUACAUUGUAGGUACGGUAACUCAUUCAUUCAACCCAUUGGCUGGGAUAUUAAAUGUGUCUAAGACUGAAGCAUGGUUUUGAAGAAUUUCAUCUUCUGAAAGGGCAGUUAGAGUAUAAGUAUGAUAACCAAAAGUGGAAGUAAUGCCAAGUUCGUUUAAAAUACAGUUGUAAUAAUGAGCCUUACAAACAAAGACAAUGUUGUUACACGCUUUGUCACCUGGAACCAAAACAUAUUCCUCAUGUAACCUAUCUAAUUCUUUUAUCACUUUUGGUUUACUAACCACAGAAGGAUAGAUGGUAUGUAUUUUUGUUUUAAUGUGUCUAAUGUGGGAUUUUAAUAUUCCUCUUAUGCUUUUAACUCAUUCUGACAAUGUAUCAAGUUCUUCUUUUUCAUAUUUAGCCCAUUGUUUGGCAUGAUCGUCGACAUAAUUCAUAAUAGAGAUGAAGUUCUGUCACCAAUUAAAAGACCGAGGUUCGCUGUAUUAAGGACAUUUUAGAAUAAGUGAUUUGAGGUCCUCAUUUUCAACUAUAUCAACAUCACCAAUAAUGACAUGUCCAGAUGGACUAUUGUUGAAAGAAGAUGAACAAGAAGACGUUGGUGGAUUAAGUAUAAAAUGGUUUAUAUCUAUGCACUGCAAAGUGUGUUUAUAAUUAAAGAGUUUGGAUGCAAUAGUAGAAGUAUAGUUCUAGGAAAUACAGGGUGCAGACGUGAACUUGAAAUAACUUGAAAUACACGACUGAACCCUUUUAUGACGAAGAAUGUUGCUUAUGUUGACGGUAUCUAUUCCUUUGUUUGUAAAUUUGAGCUUACGGAGCUGACUGCAUGAUUUGGAAGGAAUAUCAUCCAUGACCCGUGCUGGUUGAAAGAGCUUUUGAUAGGCAACAUCCAGAAUCAUAGAGUCCAGUCUAUAUUCAGGUGUUGAAAAAUCCAAGUAUAAAUACACACAAUCCUCAUAGAAAAUUGGAUAUAAAACAAAAAAUGCAUCUCUACCACACGUACAACUGACCUACAGUUGUUUUCCUAAUAUUGCAUAAUAUAACGAAGUCUGUUCAUCCAACCGUUUGGUAGAUAUCCAAACUUAUCCAACCUAUAUCAAGUUGAAGGUAUCAUCUCAUUGGGUAUAUUGAUGCGUAACAAUGCAAUUUACAAGAACGCAUAAAACAUCACACACAUGUAAAUACCAUUAUCUUAAGUUGGAUUACUGACAAUCUCCUGUAACGAUUCUGAGGGAAUAAAAGUAUAUCCCUACAUUUUGAACCAAUGUGUUCACAAUGACUCUUGCAAAAUACAAAUUGUGUAUUAAUCAUAAAGGUAAUACAAGUCAAAGAAUCAGGGCUCGGUUAUCUUAAACUCCUUGAUUAUGUUCGAAUGUGUUUUCUAAUGAUCUCACCAGCUGUAUACCUCAGGUGCUGAAAGAAAAAAAUGAAACACUUUCAAACAUAAUAAUUGAUAAGGGAACUGAUUAUGCAAUUGCAAUGCAAAGUAUGUAAGGACAAAGUUACUCGAAAUAUGUCAAUGAAACAUAUGAAAAUGUUUAAAAAAUUUGUAGGUUUUAAAAGUCAGAAUUUUCCGGAUAUAAUAGACUAUGGAGUCAAACUUUGGACUAUUACAGUGCAUUUUUAUCACUUUGAAAUCAACAGUAUGGUUAAGUAGAUGAAAAAUUAUUGCAAAUAGUCAAAAUUACAUUUUCUUCAAUUCAUAGAAAAGAAACAUAUUUCCAUUGUUUAGCUUAAGAGCAUGCCUUUAAACAUAUGUUAAAGUGAUGUGUUCUAUUUUUAAAAACGGCUGUACUCUAGGAAAGGCCGCUUAACAUAUUUUUUUUCCAUGAAGUUGGUCAAUAUACAUCUUCGAAAAAUACAUGCAAAUUUUGAUAGAAAUAUCGGGUUUUCAAUAUUAAGAUGUGGUAUGAGGAAUUAUCUUAAUAUACCAGUCAAUGGGAAGAAUGAAUAUAGUUACCAUACCUAUACUGGAUUCCUAAACUUUACAAACAUUCUUAAAAUCAUAGAUACAUUACUCCAUCCAGAAAUGUUUUAUCAACUAUAGGAACUAUCACGAAAAUGUAAAGAGUUGUGAGUUAGAAACUUGAAGCGUAUACCACAGCAUAUUCUAGAAGUGGUGUAAAUCAAAUGUGGAUUAUAAAACAAAAUCUAAAGAACAAUUCAUAAAUUUGAAAUCACAAAACGUUUCUCAAAUCAACACUCACAGAACCCAUGAUUUGUAAACACUUUAGAUGACCAUUCGUCACGAUGAAUUAGAGAAUAGACAUUUUGACAUCACAGACAGUUGCUUCUUCAACAAAAACGAAAAAAAAAAGAAAUAUUCAUAUCUGAUAUGUCCAGGGGUCUGUGUUUGCUCAACUCUCUAUUUUGAAUUGCUUUGAGGAGUUAUGAGAUUGAUCACUGUUCGUUAUCUUCACCCUUUAUCUAGUGAUAAAUGGCCAUUUUCACAAAAAAUCUUACGACUAAGAUAGAAAAGAAGUUUAGCGCAUUUGCUGACGAUAUGGCCGACUCAGAAAUCUAAAUGGAAAACACCGGUUUCCAAUAAUAGACUUGCGUGUUAUAAUUAAAUAUAAGGCCAAAGUUUUAUUUUUAUGUUUCGUUAACCAAGAUAAAUAACUGCCGCAGUUUAGCAUUACUGACAUUUAUAUGAGUCGUUCUUUACUUGAUAAACCAUUUCCAUAUUUGAAAUGAUGAACAGUACAAUAUUUAUAUAGAUCUGUGCAUUCAUAUUACACAACAACCCUUUUACAUAUGGUAUUACUUCACUCACUGUUCGGACAUGACUGCAGCGCCUUUAAUGUAUGUCAUCAGUUCAUUUGUCUUUGGUUGAUAAUUUGAGUGUUUAGCUUUCAUGCCUAAAUAUCGUAUGACAGUUGCUACAUGAGUAUUUCUUUAACUUUUCGUCAGCCACAUUACGGUUUGAAAAUCCCGUGCACACAGGAACAUGUUAGUGUAAACAAACGGACUACAAUGAUCUCGGAAUAAAUUCCCUUUCUUUAAGUCGUAACUUGCAAAUAUAAGACGUUAUGAUGAAAAUGACUAAUAUUUGUUAUAAUAUAUUUAUCACAUUUAAAACUCACCCCCCCUUUCAAGAAAAGACCCACAAAAAAUGAAAAGCAAAAGAAAAAAAAGAAGAAAAACAAGAGGGAAAUAUUAGACUUGAACUAGGAAUGUAUGGUUUAAGUGUAAGACAAGAUUACCGAUCACCUAAACCACUAGUCCACCCAGACAUGUGAGUUUAAAUGUUUAACGUUUGACAGGCUGCUAAAUCUCAAGGUAAAUUUUGAGAACGAUUUUUUCAUAUUUUAUCCAUUUUCAAGAAGAGGGUCACCUUAAACCAAAUUUCCUCAAACGGACUUAUAUACAGUCAUAAUCAAGUAAAACAAUUUCAGUGUUCUAUUUCUGGUUUAAGGUGGCCUUUUGCAACAGUUUGCAAUUUUUUAUGCCCAUUACGUUACAUCUACUAUAUACUCUAUAUAAUCACGGUGAUGUUUAUGCUUGUCAAAUAAAUAUACUAUCAACAU